rnacentral:rRNA from 1 species
GGCGGACGGGUGAGGAAUACAUCGGAAUCUACUCUGUCGUGGGGGAGUAACGUAGGGAAACUUACGCUAAUACCGCAUACGACCUACGGUGAAGCAGGGAUCUUCGGACCUUGCGCGAUUGAAUGAGCCGAUGUCGGAUUAGCUAGUUGGCGGGGUAAAGGCCCACCAAGGCGACGAUCCGUAGCUGGUCUGAGAGGAUGAUCAGCCACACUGGAACUGAGACACGGUCCAGACUCCUACGGGAGGCAGCAGCC